ACCUACGGGGGGCAGCAGUGGGGAAUAUUGCGCAAUGGGGGAAACCCUGACGCAGCGACGCCGCGUGCGGGAUGAAGGCCUUCGGGUUGUAAACCGCUUUCAGCAGGGACGAAGCGUGAGUGACGGUACCUGCAGAAGAAGCGCCGGCUAACUACGUGCCAGCAGCCGCGGUAACACGUAGGGCGCGAGCGUUGUCCGGAAUUAUUGGGCGUAAAGAGCUCGUAGGCGGCCUGUUGCGUCCGCUGUGAAAGCCCGGGGCUUAACCCCGGGUCGGCAGUGGAUACGGGCAGGCUAGAGGUAGGUAGGGGAGAAUGGAAUUCCCGGUGUAGCGGUGAAAUGCGCAGAUAUCGGGAGGAACACCGGUGGCGAAGGCGGUUCUCUGGGCCUUACCUGACGCUGAGGAGCGAAAGCGUGGGGAGCGAACAGGAUUAGAUACCCCGGU
rnacentral:rRNA from 1 species